rnacentral:rRNA from 1 species
GAUGAACGCUAGCUACAGGCUUAACACAUGCAAGUCGAGGGGAAACGAUAUUGGAAGCUUGCUUCCGAUAGGCGUCGACCGGCGCACGGGUGAGUAACGCGUAUCCAACCUGCCCAUCACUUGGGGAGAACCUUGCGAAAGUAAGACUAAUACCCAAUGACGUCCAUAGAAGACAUCGGAAAUGGAUUAAAGAUUUAUCGGUGAUGGAUGGGGAUGCGUCUGAUUAGCUUGUUGGCGGGGUAACGGCCCACCAAGGCGACGAUCAGUAGGGGUUCUGAGAGGAAGGUCCCCCACAUUGGAACUGAGACACGGUCCAAACUCCUACGGGAGGCAGCAGUGAGGAAUAUUGGUCAAUGGGCGAGAGCCUGAACCAGCCAAGUAGCGUGCAGGAUGACGGCCCUAUGGGUUGUAAACUGCUUUUAUAAGGGAAUAAAGUGAGUCUCGUGAGACUUUUUGCAUGUACCUUAUGAAUAAGGACCGGCUAAUUCCGUGCCAGCCGCCGCCGUAAGAC